UACGUAGGGCGCGAGCGUUGUCCGGAAUUAUUGGGCGUAAAGAGCUCGUAGGUGGCUUGUCGCGUCUGCCGUGAAAGCCCGUGGCUUAACUACGGGUCUGCGGUGGAUACGGGCAGGCUAGAGGCUGGUAGGGGGAAGCGGAAUUCCUGGUGUAGCGGUGAAAUGCGCAGAUAUCAGGAGGAACACCGGUGGCGAAGGCGGCUUGCUGGGCCAGUUCUGACGCUGAGGAGCGAAAGCGUGGGGAGCGAACAGG
rnacentral:rRNA from 1 species